UCAGCUGUUUCUCAAUUAAAGCUCACCUUUUGUUCCUCCUUAUCUUUGCCUCCCGUGUGUACUGCGUUUGGGUCCACCUUUCCCUUCCAUAGUUUUUCCCUUUAAACCCCAACCUGACACUGUAUAGCAAUGGUCCAAUAUGUUGGUGUCCCUGGUGGACACUUCAUAUGCUGUCUAUACUUUGGUGGUUUGUGGGUGAGAUUUGCUAUUGUAAACUCUCCAAGAAUGGCGCGCAUUUGCUCAGUUGGUAUAGUGGGCGUCCCAUGUGCAGAGGCCCUGCCCACACUGCAGCGGCCUGAGGUCCCUCCAAGGUCCGUUACAGGCUUAAGAUGUCAUGUGUAUAUAUGGACUACAACAAACAAGAAGAACUCCCUCAGGCAAUAAAAAGAGAGCUCUGUGAUGCAGUCUGUUCAGGAAACUGGAAUCCCAGCAGCUGUAGGGAGCGGUCUGAUGUGUUCACUGAGCCAGGUUUCACUGAAACAGAACGGCAGAUCUGUGAAAGUCCAAGUUUUUUGAGUACAUGGGGAUUUAUGGAAGGGCAGGUGUGGUUAAUAGAAAUGAAUAAUUAUAUAGAAAUGAAUAAUUAUUGAUAGUAAUUAAGUUAAUAAAGAUUUUUUAAUUUUUUUUUAUCAAAUCAUAAAAACGAGGCACCACCACUGGAAUCAGGGACCAAUAACCAAACCCAAAACAGUCUCAAUAAAAGUUUCACUUUAAACGUUAACAUUUGUGAGGGAAAUUAAUCCGAGCACUGACCAUCACAACCAGUAAUUACCACGAAACAUAUGCACAAAAUAAUCACAAAAGAUAUAAUAUAACUUAGUAAUGUUUGGAAUUGAUCAAAUCAGUAAUACUUCAAUAAGAAAUCCAUCAUUCAACUACAGUAGCUAAACUAUGAAACUAAAACAUUAAGAUAAACUCAAGUAACAAGUGAGUGUUCUGGUAAAAAAGACUGGUGACUUGGUGAGCAGCUGUAUCUAAUGUUCCCAACAAGUCACUCGUAAGAUUAUGUGUGUGUGUCACUUGGAAUAUAUGUGCAUACAUGUUGAUUUUCUUACUCCUAAAAUGCGUUGUGAGAUGCAAACACUCUUGGUGAGGGCUCAGUGCUCCUGCAGGAGGAUGGGUGUGAUGUUUUGACCCUGGGUCAUUAUUUUGUGUAUGUAUGUGAUGCUGCUCUGUCCCUCCUCCUCAAAGUUUGUGAGCCGUCUGCUCUGAGUGUGUGUGAAUGAUUGAUAGCAGGUUGGACCUACUGAUUGGCUGGCGCCGUUUGAUUGCUGCUCCAGGACUGGCCAGAGGCAGGAGAGAAGCCCUUAUGAACCACUGGCUGACUGCAGUCUCCCUCUCCACCCUGUCACAUCGCGAUCACGUGCCCUUCCUCGUGUGUUCCUGGUCUGACGUCAUCCCUAAUCCCUGAUUGUUUGCACCUGUGUCUCCCUCCCUCAUGUGUAUAAAGUCUUUGUCUUCCCCUGUCUGCGUCGCCUAAGUAUUUCGUCAUCUCGUCGCGUACCCAAGCCUUGAUUCACAGCCCUUGAAAUUUCGCAUCUUGUUAAGUAUUGUCUUGUUUUGUUUUUCUGUUUAUUGAUCUCUUGAGAGAGUGAUUUUGAUUUGUAAAUUUCUGGUUAGAGUUUGUGUUUUUAGUUUUGAACUUUUCAUAGUUGUUUCUUUCCUCCCUUGUGAGCGUCUUUUGUUGUACUUCAUUAUUUUGUUAGAAUAGAAUUCAUUUUCAUAGCCUUGUGCCUUCCUCUGCGGAGUGACUUUUCUUUUGUAUGUUUUUAUAUUUCAGAAAUUCAGAAUAGUGUAGGUUUUCCUCCUUCGGGAGCGUCUUUUGUUACUAAGUGUUCUGUGUUGUUCGUCCUGUCUGUCCUCGAAGAGAUUCAUAGCUUUUGAUUUAUCAUCUCCUCUGAA